rnacentral:rRNA from 1 species
GACAGAGGGGGCAAGCGUUGCUCGGAAUCACUGGGCGUAAGGGGCGCGUAGGCGGGAUGGCAAGUCAGUCGUGAAAUCUCUCGGCUCAACCGAGAAACGUCGGCUGAUACUGCCGUUCUUGAGGGAUGCAGAGGAGACUGGAAUUCCCGGUGUAGCGGUGAAAUGUGUAGAGAUCGGGAGGAACACCGGUGGCGAAGGCGGGUCUCUGGGCCGAUACUGACGCUGAGGAGCGAAAGCGUGGGGAGCGAACAGG